rnacentral:lncRNA from 1 species
UUAUGAUCACCUUCUUCAAAGCUUUGGCGUGAAGCUCUGAUAAGGUUAGGGGUUUUAAACUCUGAGUAAGAAAAAAUAAUUUAGAAUUUUGCAGUUUUUUUUUUGUUUUAAAAAUGUAUCUGUUUGAAAAAUGUUUCAAUAUUUUUGUUUGAAAUUUUUCUUAUCGUCCUUUUUAUGUGUUGCUAGCUGCCUUCUUAUAUUUUUAUAGUUUUGAAAGUAUGUGUGUUAAAGAAGAAAAAAGAGAGAGAUG